rnacentral:rRNA from 1 species
UACAUAGGCAGCAAGCGUUGUUCGGAGUUACUGGGCGUAAAGAGUAUGUAGGCGGUUGGGUAAGUUUGGUGUGAAAUCUCCCGGCUUAACUGGGAGGGUGCGCUAAAGACUGCCUGGCUCGAGUGUGGGAGAGGAAAGCGGAAUUCCUGGUGUAGCGGUGAAAUGCGUAGAUAUCAGGAGGAACACCUGCGGUGUAGACGGCUUUCUGGACCAUAACUGACGCUGAGAUACGAAAGCGUGGGUAGCAAACAGG